CUCCAGGUACACUUGGAUGUUCCUCUCUUUGCACUCCUCCCUCAUAACAAAUAGUGAACUGUGUCAAAAUGUUAAUGAUAGUUUGUUAAACGACUUUUCUUAUUGUUAGGACAUAAAUUCUUCAAAAAAAUCACAGA